CAGAUAUUCUUAGUUCCCUGUUAGCUAUAUAAAGCUUAGAAGCUGCUUUUUGUGGAUUACUGCACACACUGACUGCCAGUCAACUGUUGAACUAACUGUUAAUAGGAAAUCUUUGUGUCCUGAACUGAAUAUACAACAGUUAUUUUCUCUUAUCUCUCCAAUCUUCCCAGCUCCCAUUUAAAAACAUGGGGAACGAGACUUCACGCUCAAAUACCCACGUGGCCAACGCAACCGGGAAGAAUCUUCGGAUUUUCUAUGAAGUGGAUAAAAUGAGGCUGGAAGAAUUGGUGAUAAAUGUGGGGACAGAGAUAGGAGGUACAGCAUCAAAAACUGAACAAUCAAUAUCAGGGAAGAUUUCCACCGACACAAAGAUGGUUUUUAAACCAGACUCCCGGAUCCGUUACCUUCGCCUGCCGAAGCACGAUUCAUGUAACUUUACCGGAGAAGGCACCCUCUAUGCCUCUGUCCUUGUGGAAGAUGAAUGCGACAACAAAAACUGCCUUGAUGUCAUCUGCCUCAAUUUCCAUAUCCCCAGCGACCGGUCUUUCAUCGUGACCGCCAAUCAUAACAUCAAAUUGCAGAAGUAUGGUGAAAGCAUUUGGGUUGACGAAGGCGGCAAUCGCCAUUAUCCUUAACUUUCCUCUUCAUCCUCCUCCAUUAUCAUGUUGAGUUCUAAUUUUGAUAAGCAGAUAAGAUGGCCAUUUUGGCGCGGUUAAAUGGAAUAUUAAUAGUUUAGAUAAAUUCUUUUUCGACAACAAUGUAUGUAAAAAAAAAAUUGUAAUGUUAAAAUGUCUGGUAUUAAUUAAAGGAUUUUAUUUUA